GGAGGUGGGCUGUAGCUUAGGGGUAGAACAUCUGCUUUGCAUGCAGAAGGUCCUAGGUUUGAUUCCCAGCGCCUCCG